GCUUAUGGCCAUACCACCCUGAGUGCGCCCGAUUUUGUCUGAUCCCAGAAGCUAAGCAGAUUCUUGCCUGGUUAGUACUUGGAUGGGAGACUGGCUGUGCCUGGGAAUACCAGGUGCUGUAAGCU
rnacentral:rRNA from 1 species